rnacentral:lncRNA from 1 species
AAGAUCGCGCCACUGCACUCCAGCCUGGGCAACAAGAGCAAAACUCCGUCUCAAAAACGAAAAAAAGAAGAAGGGCCUGGCUUCUUGGAAGUGGCAGCUACUGAUAGGAGUUUGGGUUUGUGUUUGCUGGGGGGAUGGUGGGAGCACAGGUUAGUCCCCAUCCUGGCCCCCUCCACGGAUGCCCCUAAACCUAUCAGAAUCUGGCAGUGGCGGGCUGCUCAGUUCCCUGCUGUCUAGCCUGGGGAAUGGCGACGUGGAAAGGGGAAAGCCCCACCUCCUAACGCCCCUUCUCCCAAGCUCCCCGUCCACCACCAAAGGCAGGAAGGACAGUUUCAGCGCAGCUUAUUCCCCCACCCCCAGCCCAGCCUAGAAGGAAACACAAACCCCUCCAGCCCGUGCCAUCCCUCCUGUGUGGGUCCUGCAUCAAGUCCUAAGUGCCUGUGAGGUCUUCCAGGGGCUUCGAGGGGAGGACGUGGGGCAGGGAGAGGCCUUUGCCUCCCUCACAGACACCCCUUUCCUGACAGGUCCUGACCCUGGCUGAGGCCACACAUUCUGUCACGCAGGGGUCUGGGAGGUGAGCAGAGUCAAGCUCUAGGGGUGACGAGCUCUUCUCCCAUCACAGCCCCAUGAAGAAGGGGGAGUCCCAGAUCACACCCCCUUUCUCUCCAUUUGUUGGAGCAGGAAAUUGGCAAGAAGUAGAAACCAGUGAGCGAGCGCACUCAGGGCCAAGCAAUGUGCGGCUCUCCCAGCUGACGCCACUCGGGACUGCCCAAGACCACUGAGCAAUAACCACGCCUGGUCUGGGGUGUCCAGCUCCUGGGAUGCAGAUGGCUGAGAACCUGUCUUGUGUGUGAGGGCCUCACUCCUCUCUCGGAGGUGCCCAGAGGACUGUGGGAAGAAGGGCAAAGUCUCUUUCCAGAGGAGCGUGCACAGACCCUCAUCUCCCACGACCACACUUUUGGGGUGAACAGGGUGACUUUGUUAGGUCGAUUCUUCUGCAGAGAUGGUGAAGUACUCUAUCUGCCCACCCACCCACUAAAAGCCAUAGCUCCGUCCGCCUGGCCUCCCCCCAGCUCUAUAGCAAUAGCCCCCUUCCCCCUUCCCUCCUGGGCAUCCAGGGUGUCCAGCUAGGGGCCCCCACCGCACUCUGGUCCCAGGGAUCUUCCAGUGGCCUGCCUGCUUCUCCCGAAGUGACCCCAUCAGCUCCACCCAACUCCCAUCCCUCUUCCAGCAACCACAGAUAAUGACAAUUGUUUGUGAGGUGCUUGGAGAUCCCCUAGAUGAAAGGUUCUGGGUGCUGGGGCAGCUGACUCACUGACUCUCAGCUGAGGUGCUGGAGGUGCCUGGGAAAGGAAAUAAGGCAAGCUGGGGGAGCACCUGUAGCAGAUACAGGGUUCCAGUUUUCACAGAAAUUCCCCUCCUCGCCCUCCUGGAAAUAAUGGAAACCCCUCCACCCGCCUGCACAGAACCCUCUGUGCAGCAGAACGAGACUGGGAGCUGGAGUGCAUGGCCCGCUCUUGGCCACAGGGGCCCAACUCUCCUCAGCCUCAGGGCCCUGGAGAGGCCCCACCCUCCCUGGGUCUGGCUUGAGAGCCCACCUGGCCAAAGGGAAACCUCGCACCCCCACGCGCUCCUGGCCCCUGGAAUAUCUUGGUGACUAAGAAGGGAAAGGACUGCAUUUCUCUCUCCUCUGCUGCACGAAUCCCCAUUGGGAGAGAGAGUGUUGAAGAGGACACUCAGGUCCCUAGGCGGAGCUCCUGCCACACCCCAAGUAUGGACAGCUCCAGGACACAGAGCUGCAGGUGGGGACCUCCCCCUGCUCUGGAAAUCAGCCAGGGAGCACUGGGCAGUGCGGUUUGAGGCUCUGUACCCCUGGCCCCCACAGCUCAGCCACAGCACCCUCUAGCUUGGGGGACUAGUCCAGGGCCAAAAUGGGAUAACCCUUCCCCAUAUAAGCAGUAGGAUGGCGUCCCCCCUGGUGGAGAGAGGAAGGAGGCCUAGAGGGUGUGGGGCAGCUUCGAAGCGCGGGGAGCCGGGGGUCUCCAAGCACCUUCUCCUGGACAUGCCAGCCUUGAAUGGGGGAUGUGCAGGGCUUCAAACCCACCUGGCAGGAGCCCUGUGGCAGGGCAGAGGGACCCUGCUCCAAAUUCUCUGUUGGCUGCGCUUUUGUAUCCAAUGCUUUUCAGAGUGUAUUCACUCACCCACAGAAAUAGAGCCCUGUGCUUUAGGGGUGACUGUCAUAUGCCUUAUUCUUAAUAAAAUCUCUGAAAAACA